rnacentral:rRNA from 1 species
CGGACGGGUGAGUAACGCGUGGGUAACCUGCCCUGUACAGGGGGAUAACAGUCAGAAAUGGCUGCUAAUACCGCAUAAGCGCACAGAGCUGCAUGGCUCAGUGUGAAAAACUCCGGUGGUAUAAGAUGGACCCGCGUUGGAUUAGCUUGUUGGUGGGGUAACGGCCCACCAAGGCGACGAUGCGUAGCCGACCUGAGAGGGUGACCGGCCACACUGGGACUGAGACACGGCCCAGACUCCUACGGGAGGCAGCAUG